CAAUUGCGUAUAUUAAAGUUGUUGCGGUAAAAAAGCUCGUAGUUGGAUUUCUACCGAAGAUAGCCGGUCGGGUCUUCGACCUUGUAUCUGGUUUUGUCUUUGGUAUCCUCAUAGGGAACGUUUCUGCGCUUUAUUGCGUGGUGCGGUAUCUAUGACUUUUACUUUGAGGAAAUUAGAGUGUUCACGGCAGGCAAACGCCUUGAAUAUAUUAGCAUGGAAUAAUAACAUAGGAUCUUCGUCCUAUUUUGUUGGUUUCUAGGGCUAAGAUAAUGAUUAAUAGGGAUAAUUGGGGGCAUCUGUAUCAACGCGUCAGAGGUGGAAUUCUUGGAUUGCGUUGCGACAAACUACUGCGAAAGCAUUUGCCAAGGAUGUUUUCAUUGA
rnacentral:rRNA from 1 species